GGAGAGGUGCCUGAGUGGUUGAAAGGGCCGGUCUCGAAAACCGGUGUAGGGCUUGUCUCUACCGUGGGUUCGAAUCCCACCCUCUCCG
rnacentral:tRNA from 1 species